rnacentral:Y_RNA from 1 species
GGCUUGUCUGAAGGUAGUGAGUUAUCUCAAUUGCUUGUUCAUAGUCAGUUGCAGAUUGAACUCCUUCUACUCUUUCACCCCUUAUCACUACUGCACUUGACUAGUCUUAA